AGUUGUUGCAGUUAAAAAGCUCGUAGUUGAACUUCAGACCUGGCUGGGCGGUCUGCCUAACGGUAUGUACUGUCCGGCUGGGUCUUACCUCUUGGUGAGCCGGCAUGCCCUUCACUGGGUGUGUCGGGGAACCAGGACUCUUACCUUGAGAAAAUUAGAGUGUUCAAAGCAGGCUUAUGCCCGAAUACAUUAGCAUGGAAUAAUAAAAUAGGACGUGCGGUUCUAUUUUGUUGGUUUCUAGAGUCGCCGUAAUGAUUAAUAGGGAUAGUUGGGGGCAUUAGUAUUCCGUUGCUAGAGGUGAAAUUCUUGGAUUUACGGAAGACUAACUAUUGCGAAAGCAUUUGCCAAGGAUGUUUUCAUUAAUCCAGACCGAAGGUUAGGGGAUCGAAAACGAUCAGAUACCGUUAUAGUCUUAACAGUAAACUAUGCCGACUAGGGAUCGGGCGAACUC
rnacentral:rRNA from 1 species